GUCAGAGCCACUGAAAGUGAAGCACAACUCACCAUAAACAGGACCUCACAAGCCAUAAGCAUGAAAUUAGAUCUAAAUAUUGAUUUACUCCAUAUAAAUGUAUGUGCAAUUCCAGCCUCUGAGCUCUCUGCACAAGGAGAUUUAAUGCCUUUUCAGAAGCACAAGACUGAAACCAAAGCUGUGUUACAGUGCUCAUCACAAACUAUGCUUCGUGUUUCCCUCAGCAAGUACCCCAUUUUGGAGCUGUCGUCCUCCACCCCAUGGGGCAGGUCGGAGCUCCCUGCACACCCUCUGCCUCGGUCUCCCCCGUGUGUUGCUCGGGCCCACCCUUAGGCCUCACUCAGGCCUGCAUCGGGCCUGCGCGUUGCCAUAGCGACGAGGCGUUGGCCGCCUACCCCUUUAAGAGCGUUCUUGGAGGCCGGAAGUGGCUCCGCGCGGCGCUCUGGUUUUCUCUUCGUCUCUGUGGUUUUCCUGCCUUUCUGCUUCCGGUGGCGGGCACCGCGAGGGGCGGCGUGGCAGGGGUCUGGGCCUGGGGUGGUCAUAGGCCGAGCUGGAGGUCAUAUUGCGGGCUGGAGGUGAGAAUAUGGGAGCUAGGUUAGUCAUUCUGGGAGUGAGGGUACAGAGGUUUGGGGAGGAGGGGUCAUAUAGCGGCUUGGGGUUAGCGUACGGGGUAUGGGAGGAAGUAGAAGGCAGAGGGGACAUGUUGGGGUCUGGGGUCAGGGUAUGGGGGGUUGCGGACAGUCAUAUUUUGGGCUGGAGAUGAAGAUAGAGGGGUUUGAGAUGGUUAUACGGGGGGCUAGAGUUAAGGGUGGAGGUGAGGCUGGAGUAGAACCAGAGGGGUCAAAUUGAGGCCUGAGAGACAGGGCAGGAGAGGUUCAGAGGGUCUUAUUGGGGCUAGGGGUCAGGGAAUGGGGGUCUGGAGUAAUACUGGGGUCUGAACAGUGAGGGUGCAAGGGCUGGGGGGUUCAUAUUUGGGCUGAGGGGCAGGGUGUGAAGCAGGGAGAUGAAGGCUUGAGCAGGGCUGGGGAAUCAUUUUGCAGGCUGGGGAUCAGGGUAUGUAAGACUGGAAGGGGCACAGUGGGCACUGAGAGGCAGCAGGGUGCUGUGAGUAGUGGGGCUGUGGGGAGUAGAGACCGGGAGGGGAGGGGUGUGAAUGGAUAGGGAAUGUUCCUUGAGCAUCACGUGUCACGGGAUAUGGGGUGGUGGUUGCUUCUGGAAGAAAUACAGCCCCAACUCAUGGCUGAAGAUCACUAGGUCUUCUUGGGAAGCCAGCAUUCAUCAGGUGUUCCUGCUGACCAUGGAGUGGCUGCUGGAUCUGCACAUUCACCAAGGUGGCUGAACUGAAGAUCUGUCUGCAUUAUGGUGAGAGUGCUGCUCCUGCAGUUCUGUUUGUUUAUACCUGUGUGGUCUCUUCAGGCUAUAGAAGAAGGAAGAAGGAAAAAAAGAAAGCCCUAUCUACUGGAGAGAUCUGUCUGUAACAGCAGCCG
ensembl:lncRNA